rnacentral:rRNA from 1 species
ACGGAGGAUGCGAGCGUUAUCCGGAUUUAUUGGGUUUAAAGGGUGCGUAGGCGGAUUAAUAAGUCAGUGGUGAAAACCUGCAGCUUAACUGUAGAAUUGCCAUUGAUACUGUUAGUCUUGAGUACGGUCAAGGUAGGCGGAAUGUGUAAUGUAGCGGUGAAAUGCUUAGAUAUUACACAGAACACCGAUUGCGAAGGCAGCUUACUGGGCCAUUACUGACGCUGAUGCACGAAAGCGUGGGGAGCGAACAGGAUUAGAUACCCUGGUAGUCCACGCCGUAAACGAUGAUAACUCGCUGUUGGCGAUACACAGUCAGCGGCUUAGCGAAAGCGUUAAGUUAUCCACCUGGGGAGUACGCUCGCAAGAGUG